AUUAAUCAAACAAUAAUAAAUUUAUAAUUAAAUUUAGUCCUUAAAAAUAAUGAUAGUACAUUUUAAAUGGAGAAUAAAACCUAAUUUAAAUCAAACAAGCAAAGAAAUAAUAGGCUAAACAAGAAUACAAUACAAUAAAAAAAAACAUAUGGGCCCUAAAUGAGGGUUAAGCCCAAAAUGGGUGCUGCCAAAUCCAAGUCAAGAGGGGUGUUAGUAGAGAAAUAAUAAAACAAAAUAAUAAUAAAAAAAAGAACAUGGGCCCUGAGUGAGGCGGCCCAUUUCAAUCUAGAAAGGGUCCAAGGAGACCCGGUCAACCGUGUUGACCAAGAGGUGUUCUCCGGACCGUCAGAUCUGGAGAUCUGACUUGGUCUUUGGAUCGGAUGAACAUCAUGGAGGGUCACAGAGUAAUAUGACGCACCUCCGCGCAUGGGAACAAAAGGCGCCCCCUCUCUUACCGGUGACAAGUGUCCAAAGUUGGUGACACUUGUCAUCGCUGCUCACUAAUCCAACCUUGAUGUUUAAGAGGCGAACUUGAAUAAAAAAAAAUCAUUUUAACAAAAACCUUCUCUCUCUUCCAAACCUAACAACAAAACGCUCUGCAACUUCAACUUCUUCCUGCAACCGCAACCUACCUAAGAAGACGGUGGUUGUCGGCCAACGACGGCGGUGCCACCUUCUUCUCCGACGAACCAAAACUUAACCGACCAAAACCUAGACAUUAAUGCUAUGAAACUUAAAGAGAAACAACUUUUACUCUCUCGGAGAAGAUGGUGGCAGACGGCGGCCCCCAGAGGCGCCUUCCUUCUUCUCCGGUCACCUCAACCAAAACAAAUGAGGUACUAAAUAAGACCCUCUGAGUUCGAAUUUGAACUCAAAAAUUCCUAAAUCAACUCUCAAACCUCCUAGAUCGGAGCAAGAUCCGACCGAUCUAAAAACUUCUCCGAUCCCUAAACCCUUAACAUAAAACUUGACUCGCCCUGAGCCAACGAGCACGAAAACAACCAAGAAAGGGUCAAAUAAGGAACCGAAGAGAAGGACCGAAGUCCGAAUCCAGGGUUUCAAAAGAGGCGUAACUCUAAGGAGUUCGCUCAACACUGGAGCUUAAGCGACAAACAACAAGAAGCAAUCAGACAAGAUACAUGGUGCGAAAUUAGAUGUAAAUGAAGUUUAUGCAAGUUUCUUUUAAAAUGAGAGCCAGGGGAUUCUACCGUCCAGUAGGAAUUUUCAGGUAAGACAAAACUUUUCUUUUCUCCUCUAUUACUGUCGCGUUACUGAAGAGGCAUGGAGGGUCUAGUCUGGGCUUAGGUCAGCUUCUUCUUGAGGUUUAAAAACUUUAGUUUAUAUUUUUGCAACAAUAUCGUUUGUUUUUCUCAUUGGUGAUGUUGUUUAUAUAUGGGAAGAAACUAGGUUCUUUUUGAAAAUGAAAAGUGUACCCUCUGAAUCGUUUUUUUAUAACUCUAUUGAUUCGCUCCUCAAAUCCGUUGGGAAUGAGGUGAGCUGUCAAUUGCUGUAGGCUAUUUUGUUAGUACAUCUUGUACAAUCCCUAACUUUGUGGGAUUCCUUUUGUGAGUCGUAUUGAGUGAGUCCUUUCAUGCUAUCUUUCUUAAAUUCUUGAAUGAUAAGGUGUAUCAUGUAUACGCUGUUGCCGAUUGCCUUGUGAUUAUGUAAUGGCCAGUAUAAUACAUGCCGUAUCUUUGCUUUGAGGGUCCCAUUUUGGGUUUAUUUUGCCCGCUACUUCCUUACGUAAUAAUUGGUGGGAAUUUAAUAUUUACGCAGGUUUUGCUGAGGGAGAACAAAGGUCAUGGAAAAUGAAGGUCAUGGGAAAAACGUGGAAGUGAAUAGGCGCGUGGGGACCAUUUCAAAACAUUGGAUCCUCCCUCUUUUUUAUCUCUUUGUAUUAAUCACUGUGGAAUAGUAUUCCGUACUAAUAAAAAUAUUUCAACAAUGUAAUGGUGAAACUUCUAUCCAAUAGAAUAAUCAUUUCAAACGUAAGUUAAUCACUCCACCUCAAUAUGAAAUAGAAACAUAAGGUUUGACUCAUUGUAAGACCUUAAUCAAAUCCUAAUUAAAAUGGAAUGAAUACUAAGAGAGAAAAGAAAAGAAAAUAUACUUAAAAAAUGUUAACCCUUUUUAAAAGUAGAUCCUCUUGACUCCUUUAUUUUCUUGCUUAUUACUAUGAACGACAACAAGCG
rnacentral:lncRNA from 1 species